UGAUCAGGUAACUGGAAUAAUCGGUAAGAGUGGGAAGGUAGCGGAGGGAGCACAGCUUGCAGCACAGAGCAGCAGCAGCAGUCUGGAGAACAGCUAGUUCACAAACCAACUCAAACUCAAAUCUGUGCACACCAGGAUCCCAUCAUGUCUGACACCAUGGAAAAACUUUUCGCCAUCAUGGAUCGUCUGGAGGCUUCAGACUUCAAGCGGUUUAAGUCGUACCUAUACGAGAAGACCUUAAGUGGGAUGGAGCCCAUCGCCAGAGGAAAGAUCGAGUCCAGCGACUCCACCGAUGUGGCGGGCAAGAUGAAAGAUGCGU